rnacentral:rRNA from 1 species
UACGGAGGGGGCUAGCGUUGUUCGGAAUUACUGGGCGUAACGCGCACGUAGGCGGACUUGUAAGUCAGGGGUGAAAUCCCGAGGCUCAACCCCGGAACUGCCUUUGAUACUGCAAGUCUCGAGUCCGGAAGAGGUGAGUGGAAUUCCUAGUGUAGAGGUGAAAGUCGUAGAGAUGAGGAAGAACACCAGUGGCGAAGGCGGCUCACUGGUCCGGUACUGACGCUGAGGUGCGAAAGCGUGGGGAGCAAACAGG